rnacentral:SRP_RNA from 1 species
GCCUGGCGUGGUGGCGCACGCCUGCUAUUCCAGCUACUCGGGAGGCUGAGGUGGGAGGAUCGCUUGAGUCCAGGAGUUCUGGGCUGCAGUGCGCUAUGCCAAUGGGGUGUCCCCACUAAGUUGGGCAACAAUAUGGUGACCUCCCAGAGGCUGAGGGGAGGAUCGCUUGAGUCCAGGAGUUCUGGGCUGCAGUGCGCUAUGCCAAUGGGGUGUCCCCACUAAGUUGGGCAACAAUAUGGUGACCUCCCGGGAGUGCGGGACCACCAGGUUGCCUAAGGAGGGGUGAACCGGCCCAGGUCGUAAAUGGAGCAGGUCAAAAUUCCCAUGCUGACCAAGAAGCGUGACCUCACAAGACAUCUUCCCAAGAACAACAGAAGAUCAUGGAGAAAAAGACCCUUUCUCCU